rnacentral:lncRNA from 1 species
UCUCCAAAAAUGUGAUAAAUGUAUCUAGUUUGACACGAAGUACCACAACUUCACAGGAUUGAGGAUUCGGUUGAAGGCUGGGUUUAAUGCUAAGGCGAAGGAGCUGACAAAGGCAGUAGAAAUGAGCACCGAGUCUUACCUGGGCACCCCCAUUGCCAUGUGUUGGUGGAUCCUGGGCUGGUGGAAAGGUCUGGAGAAAGGAGUAUUAGAAAAUCAGAGCAUAUAGCCAUUCCGAUGGACUGCCAGAAGCAAGCCGGCAAGAUUUUUUUGUCAAGGACAUGUUGACCUCUUAAAAUGAGAUGCUUUCCCACAGGAACUGGUGGAAGAUACAGCAGAAGGGUCUAGGCUCCAAAACUAAUUGUAGAGAAAUCAACACAAGGUGACUUUUCUCAUGCUUUGGAUUCAACAUUAAUGCUGUGCAGCAGGACUGACUCCUAUUUGGUCACACAAGUUAACAUUCAGCAUGGUUCAAGAUAUUUGCCUGGGUCACUGUGAUGAAGGUUUCAUGAGAUAGGCUCACAGUGACAAUCAAUGAAGCGAAUUGGUGCUUCUCUGUUUAGCUCAAGGUUGACCAUUAAAAUGUUCUGAAGUUAUUUUGGUUGUAAUAAAUCAGAAGAUACAUUUGGAAGG